rnacentral:rRNA from 1 species
GAUGAACGCUGGCGGCGUGCUUAACACAUGCAAGUCGAACGAUUAACCCUUCUUCGGAAGGUCAUAAAGUGGCGAACGGGUGAGUAACACGUGACCAACCUGCCUCUCACAUUGGGAUAACUUAGAGAAAUCUAAGCUAAUACCAAAUACUCUUGAUCUUUCGCAUGACGGAUCAAGGAAAGCUUUCGCGGUGAGAGAUGGGGUCGCGGCCCAUUAGGUAGUUGGUGGGGUAGAGGCCUGCCAAGCCGAUGAUGGGUAGCCGGGUUGAGAGACCGACCGGCCACAUUGGGACUGAGAUACGGCCCAGACUCCUACGGGAGGCAGCAGUGGGGAAUUUUGCGCAAUGGGCGAAAGCCUGACGCAGCAACGCCGCGUGCGGGAUGACGGCCUUCGGGUUGUAAACCGCUUUCAGUGGGAAAGAUAAUGACGGUACCCACACAAGAAGCUCCGGCUAAAUACGUGCCAGCAGCCGCAGUAAGAC